AUUGGGAGCAGAAAGUCCAUGGA
rnacentral:misc_RNA from 1 species